AGGACGAACGCUGGCGGCGCGCUUAACACAUGCAAGUCGAACGUGAAGCUGGAGCUUGCUCCGGUGGAAAGUGGCGAACGGGUGCGUAACACGUGAGCAACCUGCCCCGAAGACUGGGAUAAACACCGGGAAACCGGUGCUAAUACCGGAUACCUUCUUCCGAUCGCAUGGUUGGAUGAAGAAAUGGAUUCCGCUUCGGGAUGGGCUCGCGGCCUAUCAGCUUGUUGGUGAGGUAACGGCCCACCAAGGCGACGACGGGUAGCUGGUCUGAGAGGACGACCAGCCACACUGGGACUGAGACACGGCCCAGACUCCUACGGGAGGCAGCAGUGGGGAAUCUUGCUCAAUGGGCGAAAGCCUGAAGCAGCGACGCCGCGUGCGGGAUGAAGGCCCUCGGGUUGUAAACCGCUUUCAGCAGGGACGAAAUUGACGGUACCUGCAGAAGAAGGCCCGGCCAACUACGCGCCAGCAGCCGC
rnacentral:rRNA from 1 species